UACGCUCCAAAUAUAGACCACAGUGACUCUGGAUGGCGUGAUGGAUGUCCGUCUACAGACAUCUGGGAGUCUGAAAGAAAAACCGCCUCAUUGUCUCGAUAACGUCAGUUCCACUUUGCCGGGAAUUUGCAGGAUGCUGCUCUGAAGUCAUUCCAAGGCUGUCUCUCGCAUCCAGAUCAUCCAUCCAUCUUUAUAAGCUCCUUAUCCUCUUCAGGGUCAUAGGAGGCUGUUACUAUUUGCAGGCACACACAGGGUAACCAGUGGAAUACCUCAGGAAGACACAGUACUCAGAUGGAUACACUUUGAAACAUCCAGAACUACAACCAGAAACCUCC